CGUGGUACAUAAAUAUUUUCUCAGUGAAGAAGGGUCGCCAUAUUGAGUAAUUGUGUGUUAGAGAGAGAAUAAGAGAAGGGCAAGAAGGACGCACUUUGGACACGUUCUUCUCUUUCUCUAGUUCUCUUUAUCAGUAGAAAGAGAAGGAUUUUUAUUAGUAUUUUUUUAGAACAUCCAGAAACCCCCCAAAAGGUUUUCUAAGAGGUAUAUAUAUACAUAUAUACCUGGACUUUUAUUUAUAAUCGGUACCACAAAGGCUUCACGAUUUUUCCCAAACGGAAUAGACAGGCUAACAGCGGCGGUAUGGCUGGAGGCUUUAAUAAGGGCAAACAAACCGACAACAACCCGGGCAAGAACAAGCCCGAUAGCAUCAAACAGGAGAUGAUGUCGCCGAAUUCCCGCGGAGGCGGUGGCGGCAACACGGGUUCGAGUAACGACAAAGGCAAAUCGUCGAACGAAAGAUCUUUACAUUCUGGCAGCAAGUCCCACCAACAUCACCAGCAACAUCAACAACAACACAACAGCCAAGGUGGUGGUGGUGGAAACCUCCAGGAAGGCAAAGGCGACGUCUCCGGUCUGUCGGCUGCCAGUGCGGCGGCCUUGUCGACAAGAGACGAAAAGAAAUUCACGGGAAGAUGUCGUUUAUUCGUUGGUAAUCUCACACCUGACAUCACAGAAGACGACUUUCGAAAGCUCUUCCAACCUUAUGGAGAGAUCUCCGAAGUCUACGUUAAUGCUAGCAAAGGUUUUGGAUUUAUCCGACUGGAUUAUCGUCACAAUGCAGAAGCCGCAAAAGCUGCUCUUGAUGGCAUGCAACGCAAAGGAAGAACACUGCGUGUUCGUUAUGCAUCAUUAGGUUCUGCCUUAAAAGUGAAAAAUCUAUCACAACACGUCUCUAAUGAAUUGUUACAUCAAGCAUUUUCCCAAUUUGGUGAGGUUGAACGAGCAGUUGUCAUAGUUGAUGAUAGAGGUCGGCCAACAGGUGAAGGAAUUGUAGAGUUUGCAAGAAAACCUGGUGCUCAAGCCGCAUAUAAAAGAAUAACUGAGGGUGUUUUUCUUCUGUCAUCUGCUCCACGUCCAGUGACAGUCGAACCCCUUGACCAAAAGGACGAAGAAGAUGGAUAUCCGGAAAAGUUCAUCAAUAAAACUGAUGCCUACAAGAAGGACAGAGAAUCAGAACCCCGCUUUGCACCUCCCGGCUCUUUUGAAUAUGAGUUUGGUCUGCGCUGGAAAGAACUUGAAGAACUUGAGAAACAACAGCAUGAAGGUGUCAAGAAAGCUAUGGAAGAGUCUCGCCUCAAAUUGGAAGAUGAAAUGGAAAAUGCAAUGUUUGAACAACAAGCUGAAAUGAUCCGUCAAGACUUACUGCGACAGCAGGAAGAACUUAGAAGACUUGAAGAAAUACGCCAACAAGAACAAAUUCGCCGUAGGCAAGAAUUAGAAAUGAGAUAUCCAAACAGGCGCCAGGACGAAGAAAGGCGACGGCAAGAAGACGACCGAAGGCGUACAGAUUUACUGUUGAGAUCCCAGGAAAUUCGUCGUCGACAAAUGGGACAAGAAUCUAUGGGUAGGGAUCGGCCAGGGGAUAUGAUGGGAAGACAGGGUGGUAGUCCAGCAAUGAAUGAUAAUCAACAGAGAGGUAGAAACACCAACACUGGUGCACCUCCUCUCCCACCACCUCCCCCACCUCCUGCAGCUAUGGGACUCGACAGACCUGGCCAGAAUCAGAUGACUGGUGGAGGAAGUAUGAGUGGUGGUUACAAUUACAGUAACCAAGGACCUAUGGGUGGACAGAACAUGGGUGGAGGACCUGGUGGCAGUGGCAAUACUAGCAACUCUAAUAUGGGUGGAGGCCCAACGGGUGGAGGAAUGACUGCAAAUUCUAUGGUUAAAAUGAAUCAAAGUGUCCCCAACAGAAUGAUUAUUUCAGUUUGCUGAAAAUAGAAAGGUGGUUUUAUAUACUGGACUCUCCACCCACCUCUCUCUCCCCCUCCCCUCCUAUAAAAAGCAUCCUGUGUAGCGCCAUCCGCUUUUUUUAUUGGAUUCUGACUUGAGAAGAAGUUUGAUCCAGCGAAGGUAUGAAGAGGAACGCCGAGUUGAGAUAGUGAGUCACUUGGAUGAUGAACCUGUGUGUUUAUACUUCUGUGAAGUGGAUGCAAUAUUUUGAAAUGAAAAUGUAUUUACAUUUCCAUGAAAUGGGCAGAAAGUAUAUUUAAACUUCUAUGAAGUGGAUAUCAGAUGAAAAUAUAUUUUUAUAAAUAAAGCAAAAAUGAAAUUUUU
rnacentral:misc_RNA from 1 species